rnacentral:tRNA from 1 species
AGACACCUAGAGAAGUAAUAUCCCGACAUGGGGUGUCGGGGGUCGGAGGUUCAAAUCCUCUCGUGCCGACCA